GGGGCUUGGAACCUGAAGUUUAUUAAUUAUCAUGGCAUCCAACAGGAACAUUGUCAUUACUCUAACAUCUAGAUUGUAUGCAGAUGAAAUUUCUGCUCUGCAGGAAAUGGUUGGCGCUGUCAUUUGUCUGCAGCACUAUCACCAGGUGCAAGAUGUUACAUCAAUUGGUCUGGGUCAUAUCAUCAGACCAGAGGGGCCAGUUGACUGGAUUGCUGCUUUUCACUAUCUGAGGAGGUGCACAUUUGGCAUUCUGCAUGAGAUAAAUCCAGAUUCAAUUUCUAUUAUUCGUGUUGACCCAGGGGAAAAUUAUCAAAUAAAGAAUACUUCCAAGCCCUAUGUGAUGUGGGAUGAGCAUGAUGAUUUAGCAAUAAUUCCUCCCAUAUUUGGAGUACAACAAUGCACUAUAAAACUUGACUCAAAUGAUGUUAACUUGGUGUUUCCCAGUGUAGUGCCAGCAGGGCUGGCCCAAAUGGGAAUACAAAAAAUCCUCAUGUACAAUUUGUAUUCUAACCUUUUGGCAGCGGAGCGCAACCAUGACAAUGUUAAUGCACUAGAACAUUAUACCAGAAAUAUCUCAUACAUGGGGCGGACGUACAACCUGGAUGCUAUGGCUCAGCACCAAGAUGGUGCCAUGGCCGUGUUGGAUGAUGUUGCUAUGUGUACAGCGGUCCUGGCUGCUAUUGUUCCAGAAGUAUGUAAUCGGGUAGCGAUGGCCACCAUAAGGGAGGGUCAGCAUCCACUUGUGGAGGUGUUUGCGGACAAUGUUCCCAUGCUACAGAGAGGGCAAGAAUUGAAUGUUGAGCAGGAUAUUAUGCUCAUGGGGCUGUUUAUGGCAUAUACUCACAAGCUUGGUUCAAUAUUUAAUCUGAGUACGCGGCUCUGUUUGGGUGCCUACUCCCACGAGACAAAAAUAGGAACCUGUUGGCUCUAGCUCAUCAUGCCAGAAGAAAUAGAACUUAGGUCUCUGGGAAGAAACAGUAGUGGUGAGGUUGUGCUAAAUGGACCCUACCACUGUUCUGAAAAUUCCAGAUGUCCAGACUGUGAAAAGUUUUCAUAUCUGGCAUACUCCUUUCUUAUAUUCUUGACAGUACUGCUAUUUUCAGUGUAUCUACUUUUUGUGUGUCCAUUUGAAAUAAAACAUUUGUAUGGUACUUGGCAGAGUGGAGACUCUAUAUUGGCUGGAGAAGUGGGGCCCAUAUUGAACAGAACUGUUACUUCAAAAUCUUGUUGGAGGGGGCCCAGAUGUGAAAUGUUUAUUCCAAACAUCCCUAUUAUCCUGCCAAAUGAUACAAUUUAUCCAAAUUUUACAAAUUACAAUGGAAGCUAUGCUGAUUAUAGGACUACUCUUCAAGAAAUAAUUCAUACCAUCUUAUAUGAUCAAUGUAACGUCACUGUUUUGUUGCACACAUCCUUUGGGAAGACAUAUGGUAUGGAUGAUGUAUUUUUUAAAACAGUCAUGUAUAAACUCAUCACUUCAUUUUUGAUGGAGGGAAGUACCAUGUGUGAUCUGAAGACGGCAGCCAGGGAUGUUUAUGUCUUACACUCACUAUCCCACCUCCAUGAUGUUGGAAAGGGCUGUAAACUAAGACUUGAUAACAUUUAUGAUGAAUCUUCAGGGAGCCACUACAGUCGAGAGUGUGUAAAGCAGUUUGAUUGUAUGUUGUGUAUUUACCCCAAGUCUAUAAGUGUUUCCUUUAAUUAAAAACUACCACCCACUAUAUUUAAAAUUUGUACAAAUAAAAUGUGGUACGUGUCAGAAAAUUACACUAUGACAGAAACAACUACCAUCUCUGGACAAACAUCAUCUGGAUUUUCAUUUCAUGUGCCUAUCAUGGUCAUAGUGUUGAUUUUGCUGAUUAUUGGACUGUUGCUGUAUGGAGCAUAUAAGUGCUUUUUCUGGGUUAUGUACAAGCGGGCACAGAUAAUGGGGUUGCCAGCCCAAGCACUCUUGUCACGUGUAAAGGUGUAAAAAUCAUUGUACAAACUUGACUAAAUAAAGAUUAUUUUAUUGAAAAA
rnacentral:tmRNA from 1 species